CGGUACAUCUGCAUACAAAAUGGAAGAAACGAGUCUGAGCCGCUACAGCCGCCGUCUGUGCGAUAGAUUAAUAUGAUAAUAACACCAUCAGCAGAUUUAUAUUAACAUCAUAAUCGAUUAGGCUACUCGUAUAAUAAGUCCACCUCCAUCAAAUACUCUUUUAUUAAUUUAAGUAUCCUAUAUGACAUUUAUUUGCCGUUGUUUUCAUUGAGUAGUAGUCUGAAUUCUAAUUCAGACUACUACUCAAGCCUAGUCCGCAGUGCAUUGUGGGUUUGUGGAUUAAUUGUAGUUUGUUGUGUUAAACUCUUGUCUUUUGCGAAAUAUUAUUGUUGAAUAAUCAUGCAUGUAGAGUCCUGCUGCCCAGUAGAUGGCGACCUUAACAACAACGACGCACGCAGUUUGUGAAAGAUCCGGGUCAGUAUCAUAGGGGUGAAAUUGGUCUAUUUAAAAUAACCAUGCACUUAAUGAACCGUGACACACAAUGUGCUGACUAUAGAAUUCAUAGUGCAGGGCGCCAACAGCAAAGUACAUCUGACUUCUAAUCGUUGGCGUGACCUCAUUUUGGAAAAUUUCUGAGGGAUCAAAUUCCUUCUGAAUUUUGUUUUUGUCACUAAUAAAGUCUGUGGUGCUGCCUACAGAGGACACUGUUACUUUAUUUAGUGUUGGAUACGCUCUCUCUCUCUCUCUCUCUCUCUCUCUCUCUCUCUCUCUAUCUCUCUAUCUCUGUCUGCCUGUCUCCUCCCAUACCCCUCUACUUCAAGGACCAACGCGGUGCUCCGGUCUCAGGCUUCAGGCAGUGUUUCAUCACGUCUCCAAGAUGAAUUUCCAGCGUUAAUAUUAAUUGCUAUGAUUUGUGGAUUAAAGGCAGGGUGAUCUCAACCUGUCUCUGUUGCCCAGCGUGGAUCAUGAAUCUGGUUUAACUAAGCCUUCCUAAACCGGUUAGAAGACUCCCGGCUGUUUAUCAGUAGCCUACAACAUUACAACAGCGGGGACAUGGACGGGGCAGGCGUAGACCAGUUGUCCGACGGCGAACUGCUGAUGUUGGGAAAGGAGGAUCUGAUCCGAAGGCUAAGGAGGCUGGAGAGCCGCAAUAUAGACCUGAUGCUGGAGCACGGAAACAUGGUGAUGGACGUGAACCGGAGCCUGCAGGUCCACCUCCACGAGAUCCGGAGUCUGAAAGAGGUCAACCAGAAACUGCAGGAUGAUAACCGGGAGCUCCGAGAGCUGUGCUGCUUCCUGGAUGAUGACCGACAGAAGGGGAAGAGGGUGUCCCGGGAGUGGCAACGGUUCGGCCUCUAUACGGCCAGCGUCCUGUGCAAAGAUGUCGGGCUGUACCUGCAGAAGAUGGGAGAGCUGGAGGCCAGUCAGGGUGUACUGUGGACGGAGAAUAUGGAGCUGAAGGAAAUCGUCCUGAUGCUGGACGAGGAGAGGAACGGAGCCUGCUCCCGGAGCUCCAUCGACAGCCAGUCCAGCUUGAGCAACAGGAACAGCUCGGUGCCAGUUCGGGACGUCGGGGAUGGUAGCAGCACAUCCAGCACUGGAAGUGCCGCUAGUCCCGACCACAACCACCGCUUACACAAAGCAUCUGAGGGAAAGAUAGCAUCUCUAAAGAGGUCUAUGGACGACCUAUCCGCCACUCAUUUCCACAGGGGAAUGGGGCUAAGUGAUUCAGAUGCAUCAGAUAGUUACAUCAGACAGCUAGAGAACAGGUUGAGGAUGCUGGAGGAUCAAAAUAAGCAUCUCCUGUCAGGUGCUGGAAGUCCAUGAGAAGCUGGACAGGCAGAGCUCACAGGAAUAUGAUGAAGAUCUUAGUGAGAAAGAGAAGGCCAUCAUCAGAGAGAUGUGCAAUGUGGUUUGGAGAAAGCUGGGUGAUGUUGCCAGCUCCAAGCCUUCCAUCCGACAGCAGCUUUCAGGUAACCAGUUCAAGGGGCCUUUAUAAAUGAAGCCACUAGAAGUCCCGGCAAAUCUACACUACUAAUUUGGACUGGAAUCUUAUUAGUGCAGUUUUUGCUCCAGUCUCAUAAUCUGAGUCACAGACAUACACUGUAUGGAACUGUUCAAAGCUUGGAUUUGGGUGUGGAACUGGAAAUGUUAAGCCUGGUUGGAGCUCAAGCACAAACAGCAGUCACCUCAGCCUAAUGUAAGCAAGCAAACACAACCAGAAAAGCUAACUUUAAGCCUCAAUAUCUAAUUACCACUUACCACAAAGUGUUUUGAAGUGGUCAUUAGAAGAAGAGCAAGGCACUUCUGCAUUGGCUUCUCCACUUAGCUGUGCCAUGUGGGGACGAAGAAGGGUGUGCUCUAAUAAUCACACUCUGCAGGAGCCUCCGGUUACAAUGAAUAAAAGGAAGCUAUAAUUGAUUAUUUAGCCAAUGCCUGAUGUCCAAACCUUUGUUUAGUUUAUUGGUAUGUCAUAGAUGUUACAUAUUAAUUGUGUCAUUUACGGUCUCAACGAAGGACUGACUGAAUUCAGGAAUCACAGAAACUUUCUCUGAUUUCAAUGUUAAUAUAAGACCGCUAAAAACUUAAAAUGAGUCGUAUUUGCUGAAACUUUCACUAUAUCCUGACAGUAGUACAUGAGACAGAUAAUCUCUGAAAAAAUCAGGUUCCUCUGUCUCUAUAUAGCAUGUCUAAUGGCAUUUGCAAGAAUCCAUCGGGUAUGGACAAAAAUAACCAAUCAUGGGUUGGAAGCUUGGAGUUAGUUGAUUGUUGAGUCUCAUUCCCAGGGUCGCAAAGCCAAUGGAUAUUCUCGGGGGUGGCCUGGGGUGGCCGGGGCCACCCCUGAAAGCUCAUUGGCCACCCCUGUGUUCACCCCAGAUCUGAUAGGUAGUUGGUCAAGUUCAUCAACACAAGAAACAAGAUAAAUGCUGUCAAUCAAUGAUGACAGCUGAUCAACUGAUUUAGGGCCAGUUUUACAUUUUAAACUAACACAGUAAUGGUCAUACUGAGGCUGUGAGAGCUGAUUUCUGCUCAGCAGACGUUUGGCCAUGCAGGUCAGGUGACCCAUGAGAUAAGCACGCUGCACCUGCUGCUGCUGGUCCAUGAAACAAGAGGACGGUCACAGUUACAACAUCAACAAUACAACAACGAUAAAAACGCUGAAAUCUGUUGAUUGAGAGGUAUGGUAAUUAAUGUUUAGUUAUAUCGUAGUUCCCUCUGAAUGUGUAGGAAAACUUUAUCUAGCACUAAGUAGCAGCUAAAAGUUGAACUACACUGCACUAGCUAGCUUAGCAGCCUGCAAACCAAGUUAAAGGACAUUGUGUAGGAAUUUCUCCCAUCUAGCGGUGAAAUUGUAUUUUGCAUUCAAACGAAUAGUGCUCUCUAGUGCCUUGCGUUUUCAAAUGCGUAUUGCAACUACGGUAGCCGUUAUGUACCAAGAAGCCUACCUGUUGAGGAGAAAGCAGGCAACUUCAGCAUCCCUUUGAAAGUCUUUCUCCUUCAUUAGCUCUUUCCACCUGGGAAAAGCUACCCCGAUGUUUUCCCUCGUUUUGUGAAUUCGCCGGUCACUUUGCCUUUUUAAUUCCCUUUUUUGCUUUUUUGGCGACGAGGAUUCCUUCUCCUGUUGCUCAGCAUAAGUAUGAUCCUCCAUUAUUAACUAAAGUGCAGUGCAGACUUUCAAAUGUGCCGGGGCAGUGACAAGUGCCCUGAUCACUGAUCUCCUUCUCCAUUAUAGCUGGUUUCAGUCAUGUGACGCUGGCUCUGAACGAAAACGCGUUGUGGAUUAGCUAGACAGGUAGGCUAGUUCUUUAUCUCCCUCUCGGCGAUAAUAGUUUUUCAAAAUGACAGAACGACAUGGAAGCUUCCAUGGACUUGUCCAAUGUAUAUACAGAUAAGAAAUUCUUCGCUCACGAGGAUAAGUCAGAUCAUUGGCAGAGGUAAUUUUACACCAAUGAGGACACAUUUAUGAAUGAAGACAUUGAUUUUAGCUAAUAAAAUACUUAAAACACUACACAAUGUCCCUUUAAGCAUUGUACGUUAGCAUUUUGUUUUUUUAAUUGUUACUUGGAUACCGCCAUGAAAUAUGAAACACUAUUUUCUGGACUGAAGACUGAGGGUGUUUUUGCAGAUGUGUGUGUUCAAUAGAGCUAAUGUUAUAUUUUUGGCCAACCAGUGUGUGAAAUAUAGUGUGACAGUCUAGAUUUAAGUAACUAUAACACAAGAACAAGCUGUGACUUAUUUAUUUGCUCUGUGAUUUAGGGGCUGUUUAAGGACUUUUUCUUUUGUCAAUUAGCUCAUCUUCACAGUUCACAUAUUUUUAGACGUUUAAAUAGGCAGAGGCAGAGAAAAUUGCAUUCAAAUGCCACAAAUGCUUGAGAUGAAAUAUGUGUUAAUUGUGUUGUGUAAAAGUGAGUGGUAAGAGUGGUAGUUAUGUAAAAAUAAACCUUUGUAGAUCCUAUAAAUAGACAUAAUUAGGCACAUUGUUGACACCUCCUUUUCUUUGACAUUUUAAUGGAGUCAAAGCUGUUAUUUAAGGGGUUCCAGAGCCCCACAAAUACCUGUAUUUUGCACACUGAUUCUAACCCAAUUUGACAAUGAUCCUGCUUUACUAAGUUUGUAGUUAUAGCUAUUACUUCAAAGUGAAUUGACUGACUGAUUGAUUGAGUGAUUGAGUGAUUGAAUUACAUUUCCCCCAGGGAUAAUAAGAGAAUAGUUAUGAAGAGAAGCAGAAAGAAAGAGUCAGAGCCAGCCACAGCUUCUACCAGCAGCAGUGAAAAGGCUGUCAAAUCAGCAGCCUAGGUACAGCAGUAGUGAUGAAGAGCAGUCAGCUCCUCCUGCACAGGAUGGUAAGUCAUGCUUGGAUAGUUUGAAUGUAGGCUCACAUUGUUGUUGUUUGUCACUCCAGUUAUACAACUAACCAACUUUCUGAAACAUCACUACACAAGAACAAUAGUUAAAAUAGUUGUAAAAGACAGAAGAACAAUAAUAAAAUGUGCAUAAUACAUAAAUACACACACACACACACACGUAUGUAUGUAUGUAUGUAUGUAUGUAUGUAUGUAUGUACAUAUGUAUUGUGUGAGUGUAAAAAAAUAAAUAAAAAUAUAUGUGUAUAUAUGUGUGUGUGUGUGUGUGUGUGGCAGAACCUCCAGCCUAUUGAUGUCUCAGAUUUCUCAGAUAUCUGUGUAUUCCCACAGCUGACCAGCCACACCCAGAGGAGGAUCCAGCAGACACCUUUAUUUGACAGUUACGAGACAGGAAAUCAUGGGAGAGAGAAGGGAUGUAACAUGCAGCAAAGGACCAGGAUUCGAACCGCGGUCGGCUGUGUACGUAUAUGCAUUAAACUUCGCUAUGCCAUGGCCACCCCACACUAGCUUUGUGUCCCAUCUUGGCCACCCCAGUAAAAAUGCCCUGGAUACGCCACUGCGCAAAGCGCGUGUAUGUGACGCCUUGGGAAUGAGAAAGAAUGACAAUCUUUCUUGGCUUUGAUUGGUUGUUUUCGUUAAGGCCCGGUGGAUUCUUGCAAAUGCCAUUAGGAGCGCUAGAACAAGGAGGAACUGGAUGUUUUCACAGAUUAUCUGUCUCAUGUACACUACUGUCAGGAUACAGUGAAAGUUUCAGCAAAUGUGAUUUAUUUAUUUAUUUUUGUUAUUUUUUUGGCUUUUUAUUGCCUUUAUUGAUAGUGACAGCUGAAGAUAGACAGGAAGGGGGGGCGGAGAGAGAGGGGAUGACAUGCAGCAAGGGGCCACAGGUCGAUUCGAACGGGGGUCGCCAGCUCUACCGACUGAGCUAACUGGGAGCCCCAAAUAUGAUUUUUUAAAAUAAAAAUUACCUACUAUUUUGACUGUUAUGACAUGAUUUUAGGAAUACAUGGUUUUGUUGUCUUAACCACAGUAAGAUUAGAAAAUUGAUGACUCCAUCUGUUUGUCAGCACAGAGAUAGGACCACUGUAUGUUAAAGCUGCAGUUGGGAACUUUACUGAAACCUUCCCUAUCCUCCUAGUAGUACAAGAGACAGAUAAUGCGUGAAAAAAUUAGGCUCCUCCUAAUGCUCCUAAUGACAUUUACAAGAAUCCACUCUACUCGAAAGACAACCAAUCAGAGCCAAAAAUGAUAGAAAGAAACUUUGGGUUAGUGGCUUGAAGAUGAUUGAUUGUUCAGUCUCAUUCUCAUGUCGUCAAGUACUGAUGCUAGAAAUAGACUCAACAACAACAACUAUCUUUCUCGGCUUUGAUUGGUUGUUUUCUGUCGUGUACGGUGGAUUCACGUUAAUGUCAUUAGGAGCACUAGGUGGAGCCAACAUUUUUUUACAGAUUACCUGUCCAAUGUACUACUGCAGCUUUAAGUCUAAGUUAGCACAAAGACUGUAAGAAGCUGAAAAAGUAAGGCUCCAUCAGAGCCUAAAAUAUCUCCAAUAACUUCAAAAACAUUGUAUUUACAUGCUGUCUCUUGCUGGCUCCCCUUAAAGCCACCAAUAAAUCUAAUAGUCACCUGAGUUUUGUUCAGGGGUUACUUUGCAAACCUGGCAACCCCACAAUGAAUACAAGUCAGUGCACACUGCAGUCAGUUGUUCUAGCAGUUAAGAAGUAGCUCCACUCUUCAAAUGACAAUCUCAUGUAAUUUUCGGUUUCUACAAUUUGAAUACACAAUUUACAGCUUGUAAAUAAGACAGCUUAGAAGUUGUUCGAUGGUAAAUCGGCACCCUUAUGCUGGCACCUUCUAUUGUGGUGAUAAGCAAGGCUAAAUACAACCCAGAUGUUGCUGUGUUGGAGCCACAGAGAUUAAUGUCAGUGUUCCAGGAUAUUAAGUGCCCUAAGAGAUAAUUUGCCUAGUUUAGUCUGUAAGCAUCUAUGACAGUGUUAUCUUAUGUUUCAAUUAUUGUCCAUUUUUUUUAAUUUUGUAAUAUCAAGCAAACUUUGAUCAUUUCAGGUGACUUAGCACUACAGUUAGCCUUAUUCAUACAAUUUUCAUUUUGACUGUACAUGUACUACAAAUGAUCAAAUUAGCUCUUAGUCCUAAUUGGAUCAUAAUUAGGUCUCUUAACAGCUAGUAAACACUAUUGCCUCAAUUUAAAGGUCCAGUGUGUAACAUUUAGGAGGAUCUAUUGUCAGAAAUGGAAUAUAAUAUUCAGAGGUAAUGUAUGUUUUCACUAGUGUAUAAUCACCUGAAAAUAAGAACUGUUAUGUGCCUUAGAAUGAGCUGUUUUUAUUUGCAGAUGUCGCGGGUCGCCUUCCAUGGAGGCCACAAUCUUGAACCGCUGUGUUUCUACAGUAGCCCAGAAAAGACAAACCAAACACUCACUCUACAUGGGGCUGUUUCUGUUUUUUUUUUUUGCAUGUUUUGCAACCACCAUAGUUUCUCUUUUGCACUUGGAAAGGGAAGGUGAAGCAAGUAAGUGGCAAUUUGCAACUACAACGCUAGAUGCCGCUAAAUCCUACACACUGGACCUUUAUCAGAUGCUUUAGAUAAAAAACCAGCAUAUGGUUGCUAUAUACUGUACAGUCAUUUAUAUAGGAGUCAUAAAUGAAGUUACAUGCUUCAUACGUUCUGUUUGUUUAUUUUCACAUUCGUAUGAAAUGAUUUUGAUCUACAAAGAUAGUGGAAUUUCCUUUGAAAUUCCUUACGUUAUACACAUUGGGAAAGAUGUUAUGUGUGCACCAUGUGCUGUCUUUAAAAACCACUUGUACAAUAUGUACAGAAUGGCUGAAAACAAGUUGUCCAGAGAAAAUACAUCAGUAGAAUCCUUAGAAAUUUGCAAAGUUACCCCUGUUGAAAACUCCUGUACACAAAACUGCUUUUUUGUGUGUUACAAGCACAAAGUUAUGUUUUAACAACAACCACUUUUAGAUGAUUUUAAAAUAAAGUUGAAGGAUACUUUCUUCUUUCUAAUCUGUGUUUCAUAUUUGAUUUCUUUUGAUUCCAGUUUUCUCCCUAUGUUUUGAUAACUGUGCUAACACAAUCCAUUUCCUGUGACAACAAGUUUAUCUAAGACAAAAGACAGAUGCAACACACCUUAACAAUAUUAAUACAUACAGUAAAUAAUGUAUUACAUCACUAAUGACAUAAAUAAUAGAACUAUUGAUCACUAGAUAAUACCUGAUAAUAAAUAUGUACUUUUUAUGUGACUCAGAUGCCCCCACCCCAAUGUUCCCCCUAAAGCCUUAAGCCCUGAACCCUCACAGAUUUAGUUGACAUCCCUGGUAAGUGCUUGAGUGCAUGAGGCCUCAAAUGGUAUAAAUAUAUGGGGCAGCACUCUUCAACAUAUCAGCAAAUACAUAUCUUUUACAACAAUUCUGAAAAUGUAAAGAAAUAUUAAUUUGUUGUUCACUUUUUUUUAUUGCCAACAUGCCUUUUAUUAUUAGUAUUUAUCUUUAUUGUUUGGGGUUUUACUUAAUUGUAUUUCUGUAUUAUUUUAAUUCCCUGAUUUGGUCCUAAACUGUUUUAAUCCUGGUUCAACCAUGUAAAAGUUUUUCUAAGUUUCAUUUUGAAAAGUGAUGUAUAAAAAAGGUUUAUCACUGUAUUAAAUUAUUAGGCCUUUAUCACGUUAUUACCAUGACAAUGCCAAAUCAUGUUACAUUCAAGGAUUAAAGAUAUCUUUAUUAUCCCUGAAGGGUAAUUUGUUGUACAGCCAGUAGUAAAUACAUAACCACAUAAUCAUCAGGAAAAAAACAUGUUUGACUUUCUUCACAGCCAAGGCACUUAGAGGAUUCAUGUGCUCCUCCUAUGUUUGUUUAACAAAUAUUUUUUUAAUGCUUUAAUUCCCUCAGGCAAAGUCUUAGAAAUGCAGACUUUAGGGUAUCUGUGUUGACCUCAUACACGCCUCAUCAUCCGUGAGCCUUUGAGUGUGGAGAUUAGGAUUGGGUCAGAUGUGUUUUUUAAUGUGAACAGCACAAAUCACAUGGAAUCUGAUCUUUACUAAUUCUGAUUUGGGACACUUUCAUAUGUUGUCCAAAUCAGAUACAGGUCUGAUUUUUAUAAUAUGAUAUCAGUGUGAACAGAUUUCAUGACUUUUAAGUCACUCUAGAUCAGCAUUUAUCACAAUUCUGGAGUUACUUUGUGAAUAUAAACGUGGAAGACAGCUGUGAAGGAGGUAGUCAGCGGAGGGACAGUGAAGUGUUAAACUUCGUAAGUAUUUUGGGUGAGACUGUAUAAACAGGUUCGCUGUUUUUAAUCCAUUUUAAUUAGGACACUUUCAGUGCCUUUUGUCAGUGUUAAGCUAGUUGUGUUGUGUGAACAGCCAAACAAACAAAAAAAAGAUACAAGCAAUAAAUAGUAGAACAGGAGCCAGAGCCUUCAGUUACCAAGCUCCUCUCUUGUGGAACCAGCUUCCAGUUUUGGUUCGGGAGGCAGACACCCUCUCCACAUUUAAGAGUAGGCUUAAGACGUUAGGGAUGGCUCGGGUGAGUCCUAAACCAUCCCUUAGUUAUGCUGCUAUAGGCCUAGACUGCCGGGGGAUUUCCCAUGAUGCACUGAGCUCCUCUCAUCCUCUCCCUCUCUUUCUGCACACAUUCAUGUCCCAUUAAUUCAUGUUACUAACUUCACUUCUUCCUCGGAGUUCUUGUGCUUUCUCGUCUCACAGGUUCUCAUGGAUUCUGGUGGAGCCUCCUGCCAUGGUCCUGCUUGACUGCCAUUGACUUCCAUUACUUAUAUUACUGAUAUUCUUCUUCUUCUUAUUAUUAUUAUUAUUAUUAUUGUCCAUCGUCCCCCAUCGCUGUUGUCGCCAUCAUCAUCAGUCAUUUCUAUUAGUAUAGUUGCUGUGUACCUUUGUCUCUGUCUCUGUCCUUCUCUAUUUCCCCUCUCUCUCUCUCUCUCUCUCUCUCUCUCUCUCUCUCUCUCUCUCUCUCUCUCUCACUCUCUAUCCCUGUCUAACCCCAACUGGUCGAGGCAGACGCACACACCUAGAGCCGGGGUCUGUCGGUGGUUUCUGCCUCUUAAAAGGACGUUUUUUCUUGCCGCCGUCGCCAAGUGCUUGCUCAUGGUGGGAACUGUUGGGUCUCUGUAAAUAAGGUCGGUCUCUGCAGUGAUAACUAUAGUUGGAUUUUCAUUCCAUAAAGAUAUAUUGAAAUGUAUUAGUCUUCAUUACUAUAAUGUCUAAUAACAAUAGAUUAUUUUAGGUUUUUAUUCUGACUCCUCUGCCAUGUCUCACACUGUUAUGCCCUGGCAGGGAGGACAGCUGUGCCUUGCAAGAAACUGUACCAAUAUUAUAAUAAUAUACAUAAAUACCAUCCUCAGCAUGUGCGAUGGUAUUUAUGUAUAUAUAUAUAUAUAUAUAUAUAUACAUAAAUAUGUAAUUUUCUUGACUGAAUGUUAGUAUGUAUGCUGAGAGGAAGGUACGUAUUCCUCUUGCUCAUUUGGUCCACAUUUACAUAAAAACUAGAUUUUUGAGA